rnacentral:lncRNA from 1 species
UUUGAUGGUUCAAAUAUGGCGUUUUAGGUUGCUAGAAGAAAAUUUCUGAUGUUUGCUUCUAAUCAAAUUUAUAUGGGUUAUAAAUUGCAUGUUUACUAUUUCCUAUAUGCUUCAAGAGUGGGCUUAUUUCUACAUAGAGAGCUGAGCUUAUUUUAAAUAGAGGGCUAAAGUAUUCUUUACUUUACCUAAAUUUGGCUUAUACCACUAAGCCUACAAAAAAAAAAAAAAAAGGCACUGGGCUGGAGCCCAUUCCAGCCCAAGUGUAG